GGACUGGAGUCUGCAACUCGACUCCACGAAGGCGGAAUCGCUAGUAAUCGCGAAUCAGCAUGUCGCGGUGAAUACGUUCCCGGGUCUUGUACACACCGCCCGUCAAAUCAUGGGAGUCGGAAGUACCCAAAGUCGCUUGGCUAACUUUUAGAGGCCGGUGCCUAAGGUAAAAUCGAUGACUGGGAUUAAGUCGUAACAAGGUAGCCGUAGGAGAACCUGCGGCUGGAUCACCUCCUUUCUAAGGA
rnacentral:rRNA from 1 species